CUCUGACCAUCUCACAGCACAGCUGUGUGAAGUCCCCCUCCUGCUUCAAAUGCUCCACCAUCAUACCUGUACCCAAGAAAAAAACUAAACAUCACAGGACUUAAUGACUACAGACCUGUUGCUUUAACAUCUGUGGUCAUGAAGUCAUUUGAGAGACUGGUGCUGGGCUACUUAAAGGACAUUACUGGACUCUUGUUGGACCCCCUGCAGUUUGCUUACUGAGCAAACAGGUCUGUGGAUGAUGCAGUCAAUAUGGGAUUGCACUACAUCCUCCAACAUCUGGACAAACCAGGGACUUAUGCAAGGAUCUUGUUUGUGGACUUCAGCUCAGCUUUCAACACCAUCAUCCCGGACACCCUUCAGAAUAAACUCACACAGCUCUCUGUACCCACCUCCAUCUGUCAGUGGAUCACCAGCUUUCUGACAGACAGGCAGCAGCUAGUGAGGCUGGGGAAAAAUCACAUCCAACACCCGCACCAUCAGCACUGGAGCUCCUCAGGGCUGUGUUCUCUCCCCACUGCUCUUCUCUCUCUACACAAAUGACUGCACCUCUAAAGACCCCUCUGUCAAGCUCCUGAAGUUUGCAGACGACACUACAGUCAUUGGCCUCAUUCAGGAUGGUGAUGAGAGCUGGCUGUCUGGUGCAGUCACAACAAACUGGAGCUCAACACGCUCAAAACUGUGGAGAUGAUCAUGGACUUCAUGAGAAACCCCCUGCUCUCCCUCCACUCACCAUCAUGGACAGCACUGUGGCUGCAGUGGAGUCAUUCAGAUUCCUGGGCAUCACCAUCUCUCAGGACCUCAAGUGGGACAUUCACAUUGACUCCAUUGUGAAAAAGACCCAGCAGAGGUUGUACUUUCUUCGUCAGCUGAAAAAGUUCAACCUGCCAAAGGCACAGAUGACACAGUUUUACUCCGCUAUUAUUGAGUCUGUUCUGUGCUCUUCUAUAACUGUCCGGUUUGGGUCAGCCAGCAAAUCAGAUUUAAGAAGACUGCAACGGACUGUAAGAACCGCAGAAGGGAUCAUUGGUGUGCACUUGUCCAGUCUUCAGGAUUUGUACAACUCCAGAGUAAAGACAUGGGCAGGUUUGAAAAGCAAAAGUCUGGUCUGACACCACACACCCACUCUGACCAUCUCACAGCACAGCUGUGUGAAGUCCCCUCCUGCUUCAAAUGCUCCACCAUCAUACCUGUACCCAAGAAAAAACUAAAAUCACAGGACUUAAUGACUACAGACCUGUUGCUUUAACAUCUGUGGUCAUGAAGUCAUUUGAGAGACUGGUGCUGGGCUACUUAAAGGACAUUACUGGACUCUAGUUGGACCCCCCUGCAGUUUGCUUACUGAGCAAACAGGUCUGUGGAUGAUGCAGUCAAUAUGGGAUUGCACUACAUCCUCCAACAUCUGGACAAACCAGGGACUUAUGCAAGGAUCUUGUUUGUGGACUUCAGCUCAGCUUUCAACACCAUCAUCCCGGACACCCUUCAGAAUAAACUCACACAGCUCUCUGUACCCACCUCCAUCUGUCAGUGGAUCACCAGCUUUCUGACAGACAGGCAGCAGCUAGUGAGGCUGGGGAAAAUCACAUCCAACACCCGCACCAUCAGCACUGGAGCUCCUCAGGGCUGUGUUCUCUCCCCACUGCUCUUCUCUCUCUACACAAAUGACUGCACCUCUAAAGACCCCUCUGUCAAGCUCCUGAAGUUUGCAGACGACACUACAGUCAUUGGCCUCAUUCAGGAUGGUGAUGAGAGCUGGCUGUCUGGUGCAGUCACAACAAACUGGAGCUCAACACGCUCAAAACUGUGGAGAUGAUCAUGGACUUCAGGAGAAACCCCCCUGCUCUCCCUCCACUCACCAUCAUGGACAGCACUGUGGCUGCAGUGGAGUCAUUCAGAUUCCUGGGCAUCACCAUCUCUCAGGACCUCAAGUGGGACAUUCACAUUGACUCCAUUGUGAAAAAGACCCAGCAGAGGUUGUACUUUCUUCGUCAGCUGAAAAAGUUCAACCUGCCAAAGGCACAGAUGACACAGUUUUACUCCGCUAUUAUUGAGUCUGUUCUGUGCUCUUCUAUAACUGUCCGGUUUGGGUCAGCCAGCAAAUCAGAUUUAAGAAGACUGCAACGGACUGUAAGAACCGCAGAAGGGAUCAUUGGUGUGCACCUGUCCAGUCUUCAGGAUUUGUACAACUCCAGAGUAAAGACAUGGGCAGGUAUCAUCAUUGAAGACCCCUCUCACUCUGGACACUAGAACAUCUACACAUAAAAACACCCCCAUGCCAUCUCCAGCUUAAACAGCUAACAUUUGAAUCAUUACCUGUGUUUUGUAAUUCUGUGUUCUGUAAUUCAUUUCCGUAAAUCAUUCUACAUUUUAAUUAUUGCCUUCUCAAGUAUUAUGUAAAUACAUAUGCAUAUCUAUAUUACUUAUACAGUUCUAUAUAGAGUAAAAAUGCACAAAUCUGUACAUAAAUCAAUCUACUGUUCCAGAUUCUUUCACAUUAUUUAUUGCUAAGUCUUGUUAAAAUUAUUUUUAUUUUUUGUUCUCAUGUCAGAUGUGUAUGUAUGCAUGUACACUCACCUAAAGGAUUAUUAGGAACACCUGUUCAAUUUCUCAUUAAUGCAAUUAUCUAAUCAACCAAUCACAUGGCAGUUGCUUCAAUGCAUUUAGGGGUGUGGUCCUGGUCAAGACAAUCUCCUGA
ensembl:lncRNA